rnacentral:lncRNA from 1 species
GCCCUUGGCCUUAUAAUGCUUGGUGUACACGGGCGCCUGCACCACCUCGUGGCCCUGCUCACGCGUGCGCGCCAGGCUGAUGGUGGCGGUGCCGAUGAGGUCGUCGCGUGUGAGCGUGUCCUCGUCCAUCAGCGUCAGCUCCAGCGUGUUCUCGUUGAUGAUGCUGUGGUGGGAGGGAAGACAGGGUGGAAGGUGUGAGGAAAGGCAGGUGCGAAUGUACGGUAGUUAGGCGAUGGCAUCGGGGAUGAUGGGGGUAGGUGACGCAACGUGUCGCCCGUGUGAUGCACUGGAGCGUAGGCGCGCAGCAUGCCCGAGAGCCAACCAGUAAUAGAACCCUGGCAAGCACGCAAAACAA